ensembl:ncRNA lncRNA:CR45373 long non-coding RNA:CR45373
AGCUUCAGUCUCAGCAGCUCUCCACGAAUACUUGGCCGUUGCCAAACCGCAGCUAGUUGCAGUUGCAUGUUGCAUGAGCCGGCGAUAUGAUACGUGGCCCAGAGCUGGCCAAAUCUGAACUGAGCCACCUCUUGUCGUCCUGGCAUAAUGAGUGAGUAGCAGAUGGAGCAAUGAGACGCUACAGACAGUUGUCAACAUAAUUUAGGCGCAUGCAAAAUGCCAGCAGCAGAAGCAAGUACAAUCUCCAUUCCCAUUUUAAGCGUUAACCCAUUAGGGCCACAAUCAAAGAUGAAAUAUAACAUAUAUAGUGCACUUCG